GCCAAUGUAGCUCAGCCGGUAGAGCACACCCAUGGUAAGGGUGAGGUCACGGGUUCAAGUCCCGUCAUUGGCUCCA
rnacentral:tRNA from 1 species